CUGUUGGUUUCCAUGAAAUUUGGACAGAGGCAAAAGAACGCAGCAGAAAGGAGUCCGGGAAGGUACAGCUUCUGUUUCUUUCCUUCAGAGGAGGAAAUGACUUCCUAUGGCUAGCUGACCAGGAGUUAGUGCUCACCCCUGCCUCUUGCCAGGACCCAGAACGAGGACCUGGAGCAUACCCAGAUGAGGAUCAGAACGCAGCUUCAGCUCCUCCAACAAAUGAAACUGACAGAAUGAAACCUGAGAAACUUUAGCAACCAAAGAAAGCAGCCUUCCAAGGAUCAAGCUCGAUGCAAAUUAAUCCUUGAACUUGGAAGUCACAUUUGAAGAUGGAGGAGCCACAUACAGCAUAAAAAAAGUAUCUGAAUCAUUGCCCUGAGAAAAGUUAAAACAAGUUUUGGACUUGAUGAAAAAGAAAACAAACUUCUGUUGUGUUUAAACCAUUAUUCAUCUUGAGAUUUUAUUGUUACAAGAACUAGUAUUAUAACUAAUAUAUUAUAGUUAUAGUUUUAACUCUUCCAAAUUGACUAAAAUAAAUUGACUAUGGAUUGGCUGACUAUGCUGGGUCAGGAAAGGUCCAGCCAUUCCUUCAAUACUGUCAAAAAGUCAUUGGACAGUCUGAGGAGCAUAUGCAACUUCUAAAUAGCUUUCACAACAGGGGAUCAGGAUCUGAAUCCUUGUUCUCCCCUCCAGUCCUCUCAGGAAGGGCCAAAUUAACAGCAGGCAACAUGCAAUCAGACCAUGAGCACUGGUAGGGUGUGGAGAAAACUCAGUCAGCCCUGUGACUGUUGCUCUGCACUUCUGUCCUGCUCUCCUUCAUGGAGGACAAUGUACCCUAUUCUCUUAUUUGAUAAAAAGGGAAAACAGUACAAAUCAAAUAUUGUGACUCAAUCAGAUUAUGUACCACCCUUGCUCAGUGCUUUCUAAAACAGCAGACUUCAUUUUGUUAAUGUAGAAAGCAAAGAGAGCUAUUAGCUCUCCUGGCGAAUAACACCAAAUUAUUUGAUUGUUAUUGUCUCUCAUUCAGAAGAUUGGUUGUCAGAAGGAAAAGGUCUGAGUCAUGCUGUAGAAAAGGUGAACAGAGGAUAUGCAACCACCACCAAAAGGUGGCAGAGUGGAGAGGGAACAACUACUGUGGAGAGAGGGGAUCUCAGGUUUAUGAGCCCCUUCCCUCUGUCAAAUGGGGCCAACAAUGCCUUCCUACCCUUUCUCUCAGGAGGACACUGUGAAGACUUUACCAGUGUAAAGUGAAAGUACAUUCAGAUAUGAUAAAAAUAGUUAAUGAUUCCUGAGUAUUUCCAGUGAGGUUCUUACAUAUUGCUUGUUUAAUCUUCUGAACAAGCUUAUUACAUUAGUGUUAUUAAAAACUAGCCCCUCUUAUGAGAUAAGGAAACUGAGGCUCAAAGACGUUAAAUAAAGCAGCAUCUCCAUGAUCAUCUAGGUGGCAAGGAGCAGAGCUGGGACUCUGAGACCUGAGAGUCGCCAAAAGCUCACGUCUCUAACCACCAUAGCCUUCCCGACUCUGUGCCAAUGAAAUGCACUCAUCACAGUGAAUGGCACUUCUGCUGGAGAAUCCAGAAUGCCCAAAGCCAAGAUGCCUACGCUUGGCUCAUUCCACAGGCAGUGUCCUACAAGGUGGCUUGUACUCAGGCAUAUGAAGGGCCUGAGAAAAUAAUGAAACAGAUAGGAAAAAGGGAAGAACAAAGACUACUGUCUUGGGCUCCAGAGACUAGGCUGCCUAAACACAAUUCAUAAAGUCAUUCACGGACUCAGACCUCAUAGAUUUUGAAUAUCAGAUCAUUGAAUCUGACGUGAACUUCUAGAGAGAAAGCAUCCUUUCUUGCUGAAAACAGCUUCCCUUCUCCAGCACAGAAUCAUAAAGAAGAAAGAAUCUGAAUUUCUCCCUGCUUCCUUCUUGCCUGAAAGUUUCUUUUUUCCCUCAAACUCACAGUCCCAUUGUUUCUCUUAUUUCUUCUUAGUAUGCUCUGUUUAAACCAGAUGGAGCAGUAGCAUUUUGAAACUAGUCCCGAAGCCCAGGGGACUUGCAUCACAAAUAAAUAAACAAAUGAACAAUUCAGCAAUUGGUAAAUCAGGCAGAAUGAGUUUAACAACUGAGCUGGAAAAGUAGCUGAAAAUCUAUUCCCUGAUGAAAGAUCUGAAUGUGACCCAGGUUCUCUUCACCUAACAGGCAACCACACUGACUUCUUUCAGCAAACCAGGGACUGAAAAGAGAAGCAGUAGGGAGGCAGUUAUGAACAGCUCCACAGAGAUAUUUGGUGGCACUCUGGCCACUCUGUAUUACCAGUAGGCUGAUACAUUAUCCCAUGGUUGCUAUGAAAUAUUUGUUCACCACCUAUAAAGGCAAGACAUUUUCAAGUGCUGCUUUUCUUUAAAUAUAUUCUCCUUCCUUUCAGUCUUACAUAAUUCAACUAUCAUCCCAUGUGAGGCUUAAUUUAAAGAAAACCAUAAGUUGAGUUAAUUCACUGUGAAGGGUUAUGGAAGUUAUAUUUAUUCCAGAGAGUCAGCAGCUGUGUAAUGGGGUGUCUAUUAUAUGCCUGACCUACUGCCAGGUUCUGGGAACACAAAUAUGAAUAAGACUCAGCCCCUGUCCUUAAGGAGUUCAUGGCCUCCUGAGAGAGAGAUGUAUUCAAAAACUAAGUGAAAGAAGUGUUAUAGCCAUUAGGGUAGAAGAGUUGUUUAGUGAUCAGCUCUGAGGAGUGAGGGAGUAUGUGUGGGGGAGGGGCAGAGGACAGGGAUGGCAGUUCAGCAAAGGAGCCCUCUGUCUCUGCGUAGAAGAUACUAGAAGCUGACGUCUACCAAGAAGACAGGUUGAGAUGAUGGUCUGGGCAGAGAAAGCAGGAAGAAUGGGGGUGGCCAUGCACAGUGUCCCUGUAAACACUUGAACGCAGCUGGGAAAUAAGGUCCUGGGGAAAGAAACAAGAGGCAGGCCUGGGGGCCAGGAGAUGAUCCUUCACUGCCCUGUGGGUCAUGUGAAAGAGUGUGGUCUCUAUCCUAAAUGUUGUGGGAACAUCUAAAGGACUUUAAACAACAGAGUAAACAAGAUCUGAUUUGUACUUUAGAAGAUCACCGUGGCAACCAUGUGGAGGCUGGGCUGGAGGUGUUGAGGCUGGCAGCAGGGAACAGUCAGAAGGCGAGUGCAACAGUCCCAGGAGGGAAGGAUGGGGCCUGAUCUCGGGCAGCCGCAGUGGGGAUGUAAACAAAGAGAAAGAGGGCAGAUGCUAAGAAGGCAGAAAUUUGGGCUGGAGAUAAUGAAAUCUGGGUUCUAGUUCCAGCUUCGGUAUAAUCUCUCCACGUAACCCUACAUGAGUCCUUCCCUUUUUUGGCCCCUGUUUCCCAAUUUGUCAGGUCAGAGGGAGACAUGUUAUGGUUGUAUAUGAGAAGGCAUGUUAUUCAUGUAUUUGGUCAUUAUUAUUCAUUCAUUGGGUAAGUUAAUUAAUUGGUCAGGGAAGGCACUCAUUCCUUUAUGCAUACUUUUGGGAGUCUUGCUCUAAAAAAGCAACAUGGUACUACGAAGAACUCAAAAGAAAGAUGCAACUUGAAGUCCACAGCAUUUGCUGAUCAUCCUUUAGGUGCAAAAUAUGUACCACACUGUCGAUACAGGUAAGAUGGAAACAGAAAUGGCCAAGGUGUGGUCUCUGCUCAAUUAGAGGGAAUGAAGCAGUCUGUGAUUAAUUCAUUUUAACAAACACUGACUGAGUGUCUAUGUGCUGAGUAUUGCAUCUUCCACAGUAAGGAAAAAGAGGAAUACAAGAGGAAUAAGUCCCUGCCAUGAAGGAGUGCACAGUCACCAAUAGAUGAAGUAAUACUGCUUUUAGAGAGCUGCAAAGCACUGUGAGAGCCAGAGAUAGAGAAUCUUACCAAAUGUCCAUCUUUGAUCUUUGUCACGGCAAACAGGAGCAUGAAUGCUCUUUUCUGUGAUCUAAGACUGCUAACAGUUCCCUUCACGAAAGCAGAUGAAGCAAGGAGUCAUUUACUUUUACUUAAAACAAAGACCUUUCUAUGGUGAGGUCCUAUUAUCAGGUGUUCCAUAUAAGAAUAAGGCAUGCUCUUUGCCCUCAAAGAAAUCACAGGUCAGUGUGCAUAACAUUUUGUAUUGUGGGAGGAGAAAUAAGAAAAAGUUCUACUCUUUCUACCAAAUAGUCCAAAGUACCUUCAACAGCACCUAGCAUAUAAUAGGUGCUCAAUAAAGUUCAAAUGAGGUGAACACUUUCAAAUUUGUUACUACAGAUACUAUUUGUUAAAGAAAGAAAAUGAAGUUGACUCUAAAAUAAUAACACAUACCUGACAUUUAAUUAUCCAAAGAAUUCACUCAGGAAAAAUCACUUUUACGUAAGAAGUCAUGAGUAAUUAAUCAAACAACAGGCAACUGGCUUGUUGUAAUAUUAAUUCAAAUACGGUUUCUAAGCAGCAGGUCUACAUUCCCAAAGUCUUGAGAAGCAGAUGGCAUCUAAUUUGCUUUAAGAGGCUUUGAUUGACCACACUUGGUUCUUUAAGCCAGGGUGAGUUCAGUUUUGGAAGCAUUCAUUAAGAGAAAUAGCUUCCAACCCCUUAAAUAAAACAAGUGGUUUCUAAAUGUAUAGUCUGGAAAGACCAUACUUGGGAAUGGUCUUGCUUAGACAUAAAAUGGAGUGUGUUAGGGGUAUGGAAGGAGAAUUCCACUAGUAGCCUACUGAGAAAGGGUGUUGACUUGACAAAUGAGAUCACAUGCGUAAUUAACCUUUGACAAAAAUUAAAGGGGCUAACAGUGCUAGUGAAAUUAAAAACAAACAAACAUGCAUCACAUUGUGACAUUUUUUUUCCUCAACAGAGAAGCCCAGAGCAUUGUGAUCCAGCUGGUAAGAAUUCUGACAUGUAAUUUAGAAUCUUUAACCAGUAAGAAAUGAUUCUAACGGACUUGGCAAUAGGCCUGGCUCAUGGACUCUGUACCCUGUUACAGAUGUGAGGUGGCCACCAUAUUGCCUACCAUUGGGGAGAAGAAGCUCUGGUAAAACAGCUGUCUCAUACAGGGACUUUGGUCAUAAGCUGGCUUUUGGUCACAGGGUCUGACAUCUGGCCUCUGCCACUUACUGAACUGUUAGGAUCCUGGACAAGGUGCUUAACUGCACUUAAGCCUCAAUCCCCAUCUGUAAAUGAAAACAGUAAUGCCUAUCUCAUAGGGUUGUUACAGGGAGAGUACAUGAGAUAAUAGAUGUAAACAGCUUGGUAUAGUGCCUGGCACAUAACAGGUCUGGUAACUUAGUAUUAUAAUUAGGAUUGCUGAAAGGGAAUUUUUCUUUCCACAACUGGCUAAAAAACCUUGUUUCAAAUACUUCUGAGACAGAAAUAAAUAUAUGGAUGAUGGAUUUGCAGAAAUGGGAGUGGGUGUUCCAUUGUAAUAUAAUUGUAAUGUGCUGAAAACCACAGCAGUCUUGUGCCAAUCACAAACCCUUUCUCAUAGUAAGAUUAUUUUGUGAGUGAACCUGGAGAGUAUCUUAUUAAUUACGUGCUUUAAUGUUCCAUUUCGUAAUAUGAGUCUCUUCUGAAUUCUAUUUAAUGAUAUAAUACAGAGAACUGUACCCGGGAAGGACCUUGGUUUGAAUCUCACCUCAGUCACUUAAUGGCAAUGUGAGCUCUGGCAAAACAAAAACCUUUCUGAGCCUCAGUUUCCACAUCUAUAAAAUAGGGAUAAUCUAUUAUCUAUAAAAUAGGGAUGAUGAUGAUCAUCAUCAUCACUUUUACUGAGUUUUUUCUUUGUUCCAAGUUCUACCAGCCUUUACUAAAUUAUCUCACCCUCACUACAUGCUACGUUGCCUUCUAGAAGUGUGGUUGUAAAGGCAGGGUCUGUAGCCAAGAGCUCAGAACCAGACAGUUGGGAUCAAUUGAGUUGAUAGCAGAGGGCUGCUAAAUGAUGACCAAAAAUAUCAAAAAACUCUUGCUGCUUUCGAGACAGUCAGGUCUUUGACAGGUGGACAGCAGGCUGCAGAUAGAGGUCUAGCAGGGAAAGGAAAGCUUUGUGAAUAUACAUAAACAUCAGAAACUUUGGGACCUGCAGUCAAACCUCAACCUCCAAGGCUUAUCACAAAUAACUACU